rnacentral:rRNA from 1 species
AGAGUUUGAUCAUGGCUCAGAACGUACGCUGGCGGCACGCCUAACACAUGCAAGUCGAACGAAGUAGCAAUACUUAGUGGCAGACGGGUGAGUAACAUGUGGGUAUCUGCCCUUUGGCCUGGAAUAACACGAGGAAACUUGUGCUAAUACUGGAUAAGUCUUUACGGAGAAAGCUUUAUGCACCAUUGGAUGAGCCCGCACUUGAUUAGUUUGUUGGUGGGGUAAUGGCCUACCAAGACUGUGAUCAAUAGCUGAUUUGAGAGGAUGAUCAGCCACAUUGGGACUGAGACACGGCCCAAACUCCUACGGGAGGCAGCAGUGGGGAAUCUUGCACAAUGGAGGAAACUCUGAUGCAGCGAUGCCGCGUGAGUGAAGAAGGCCCUUGGGUUGUAAAGCUCUUUCGUCGGGGAAGAAAAUGACUGUACCCGAAUAAGAAGGUCCGGCUAACUUCGUGCCAGCAGCCGCGGUAAUACGAAGGGACCUAGCGUAGUUCGGAAUUACUGGGCUUAAAGAGUUCGUAGGUGGUUGAAAAAGUUGGUGGUGAAAUCCCAGAGCUUAACUCUGGAACUGCCAUCAAAACUUUUCAGCUAGAGUUGAUAGAGGAAAGCAGAAUUUCUAGUGUAGAGGUGAAAUUCGUAGAUAUUAGAAAGAAUACCAAUUGCGAAGGCAGCUUUCUGGAUCAUUACUGACACUGAGGAACGAAAGCAUGGGUAGCGAAGAGGAUUAGAUACCCUCGUAGUCCAUGCCGUAAACGAUGUGUGUUAGACGUUGGAAAUUUAUUUUCAGUGUCGCAGCGAAAGCGAUAAACACACCGCCUGGGGAGUACGACCGCAAGGUUAAAACUCAAAUGAAUUGACGGGGACCCGCACAAGUAGUGGAGCAUGUGGUUUAAUUCGAAGAUACGCGCAGAACCUUACCAACACUUGACAUGUUCGUCGCGACUUUAAGAGAUUAAAGUUUUCGGUUCGGCCGGACGAAACACAGGUGCUGCAUGGCUGUCGUCAGCUCGUGUCGUGAGAUGUUGGGUUAAGUCCCGCAACGAGCGCAACCCUCACUUUUAGUUGCCAUCAUUUAGUUGGGCACUCUGAAAGAACUGCCAGUGAUAAGCUGGAGGAAGGUGGGGAUGACGUCAAGUCCUCAUGGCCCUUACGUGUUGGGCUACACACGUGCUACAAUGGUAUCUACAACAGGAAGCGAAACAGCGAUGUUAAGCAAAUCCUUAAAAGAUACCUCAGUUCGGAUUGCACUCUGCAACUCGAGUGCAUGAAGCUGGAAUUACUAGUAAUCGUGGAUCAGCGUGCCACGGUGAAUGCGUUCCCGGGUCUUGUACACACCGCCCGUCACACCAUGGGAGUUGGUUCUACCUUAAGGCAAGGUUUAAUACCCUUGACUACGGUAUAGUCAGCGACUGGGGUGAAGUCGUAACAAGGUAACCGUA